UCACCUCAAGAUUUAAAGUCUGGAUGUUUUUUUGUUUUUUUUUUGACAAUAAGUUAAAACAGUUUUGAGUAAGAUAUUCUCUCUCAACUCAACUUUAUUAGUAGAGCACUUUAACAACAACAAUUUUUAACUAGUUUGUUAAAAAUGGAUCACUGUAAUCCUUCGGUGCUGAAGCAAAUGGUCGACCACAAAGGGCCGAUGUCUCCGCGACAUCUCUGGGACAUCUCCCAGACUUGUUUUAGACCAACAAGACUGCAGAGACAUCACGGAGACCUAUCCGCUACUUCUCUGUGACAAUGGCGGCACGGUGGACAUUGGUAGAAGGAUGAUGAUGAGGAGGAUGGAGCUGCCAGGCAAGAGAGCUAGAGGAAGACCAAAGAGACGGUUGAUGGAUGUCGUGAGGGAAGACGUGAGGGCAGUUGGUGUUCGAGAGGAGAAUGCAGGAGAUAGGCUUACAUGGAAAAGGAUGACGCGCUGUGGCAACCCCUAAAGGGACAAGGGUCGUUCGUACCUGCCGAUCGACCCCUACACGUCGUGUUCUCAUCGCUGAAGUCUCCACAGUCAUUAUCGCCAUCACAGGCCCAGUGAUCUGGGAUACAG